AAAACUUAGGUCAACUAUUUGCUUAAACAUAUUCAAUUACUAUGGGUACGUACAAUAUGAUGGAUAUAAAGACUCCGGUAAUGAGCUCACAAAUAAUUGUACAUGAAUAAAAAAAAAAUCCUACCCAAAACAAGUUGCUAAAAGUUCCUGUUUCUGGACAGCAUACAUGAUAUAAUUUGGAUGAGAUAAAGAAUGUCCAGAGCAUUUCACCUAAGUGUUUCUUGCACGAAUGCUAGCUAGCUAUACAUGUUCUAUGGAGACAUUUAUUAAAAUAGAAACAACAAAGGGUAUUUCCAUCUUUUAAGCCUUUUAACGUUCAGUCGAAAACAAAAUUAAUAUAUUCAAGAUGUUGUUAAGUUAUAUGCUGAUUUCAUUACCAUUACUUAUGUCAGUACAUGGUUUCUUAUCUAAUCAAAAGAAGCCAGAAUUUGUUUAUCAACUUUGCCUUAACAUCUCAUAUGCAAAGAUACAUUUAUUUAUAUUGAGAGAGCUGGACUGUGUUCUGUUUGUUGAAUCUAUGAAUGUAGAGUAUUGGAAUCAAAAUCUGUUACCUAAUGACCUAUAAUCCAUCCCUCUACAAAAUUACCCCCUUGUAGGCACCAAAUUUCAUGCUAACCCUCACCCCCAACCAGCUCUCCAUUCGCCUUGAAGCUUCAAGAUAAUAUAUUCUUCUAUUGCAUCAAUCCAUCCAUGCGCAAAAAUUUUUUAUAGAGCUUUGAGGCUAAAAAUUUGAUAGGAUAGCAUAUUCCUUAUCUCUUUGAGAGAAGCAUAGUGGUACCUUAUGCGUGCAACAUAUACUGUCCCAGCAGCAAGUAGUUACUCAAGCAGAAUAAUGGCCACUCAAUAUUGAUUUAGCAGCAAGAACAAAGUAUUGUUCCCUUAAGCAACAACAUCAUUGGGGACAAGGACAGAAAGCAGCAUAGAGCCUCUAGUCAAUAGGAGCACUGCUGUUAUCAGUCCCCUCCCAGGCCACAGGCACAGUAAAGGAACCUUAUGUGGUCUGUCUUCAUAGCAGCAUGCCACGUGUCA
rnacentral:lncRNA from 1 species